rnacentral:rRNA from 1 species
AGUGAACGCUGGCGGUAGGCCUAACACAUGCAAGUCGAACGGCAGCACAGUAAGAGCUUGCUCUUACGGGUGGCGAGUGGCGGACGGGUGAGGAAUACAUCGGAAUCUACUUUUUCGUGGGGGAUAACGUAGGGAAACUUACGCUAAUACCGCAUACGACCUACGGGUGAAAGCAGGGGAUCUUCGGACCUUGCGCGAUUGAAUGAGCCGAUGUCGGAUUAGCUAGUUGGCGGGGUAAAGGCCCACCAAGGCGACGAUCCGUAGCUGGUCUGAGAGGAUGAUCAGCCACACUGGAACUGAGACACGGUCCAGACUCCUACGGGGGGCAGCAGUGGGGAAUAUUGGACAAUGGGCGCAAGCCUGAUACAGCCAUACCGCCUGGGUGAAGAAGGCCUUCGGGUUGUAAAGCCCUUUUGUUGGGAAAGAAAAGCAGCAGGUUAAUACCCCGCUGUUCUGACGGUACCCAAAGAAUAAGCACCGGCUAACUUCGUG